rfam:Homo sapiens chromosome 6, GRCh38 reference primary assembly.
GCAUGGGUGAUUCAGUGGUAGAAUUUUCACCUGCCAUGCAGGAGGUCCAGGUUCAUUUCCUGGCCUAUGCA